AAAGUGCUACGAAUGAACUGGGUGGAAGAAAGUACAUAGGUCUCCCAUUCAAGGGUUCAUCAGUCUUCACUAAGGAAAUUUAAGUCAAAGUAGCUGACAGUGAGUCAGCAUUUUGGAAGGCAGGUAGAGAUGGUGAAGAAAUAAGGAAAUUCUUCUAUGAGUCAUGAUAGAUAUUUAAGCUUGUUAAAAAAUGUUUUUGACUACCUACUCCCUUUGCCUACAGAGUCCAGUUAAGGAAUAAUCUUUGCAUAAUUUUACACCCCAUACAUGAGAUGAUUAGGAUUCAAUCUCAAUCAGAAAAAUCCCUUUAUGGUGUCCUUAUGGCCUUCCUGUAUCCUAACAGAAAAAUCCUAGCAGAAGCAUUUCCCCUUUACCCAGUUCCUGUUCUCUUAUCACAGUUCUAUUCCUCCACACUCCCUUCCUGCUAGGCACGGGAAUUUGAAAGGGCAGGGAAAAAUCGGUAAAAGUUUGUCUUCUACUUGGGUAAUCCAAUACCACCGCAUCCAGUAGUAAAUAAUUCUUUUUGCAUGUAU
rnacentral:sRNA from 1 species